rnacentral:rRNA from 1 species
GGUUAAGCGACUAAGCGUACACGGUGGAUGCCUUGGCAGUCAGAGGCGAUGAAGGACGUGCUAAUCUGCGAUAAGCGUCGGUAAGGUGAUAUGAACCGUUAUAACCGGCGAUUUCCGAAUGGGGAAACCCAGUGUGUUUCGACACACUAUCAUUAACUGAAUCCAUAGGUUAAUGAGGCGAACCGGGGAACUGAAACAUCUAAGUACCCCGAGGAAAAGAAAUCAACCGAGAUUCCCCAGUAGCGGCGAGCGAACGGGGAGCAGCCCAGAGCCUGAAUCAGUGUGUGUGUUAGUGGAAGCGUCUGGAAAGGCGCGCGAUACAGGGUGACAGCCCCGUACACAAAAAUGCACAUACUGUGAGCUCGAUGAGUAGGGCGGGACACGUGGUAUCCUGUCUGAAUAUGGGGGACCAUCCUCCAAGGCUAAAUACUCCUGACUGACCGAUAGUGAACCAGUACCGUGAGGGAAAGGCGAAAAGAACCCCGGCGAGGGAGUGAAAAAGAACCUGAAACCGUGUACGUACAAGCAGUGGGAGCCUCUUUAUGGGGUGACUGCGUACCUUUUGUAUAAUGGGUCAGCGACUUAUAUUCUGUAGCAAGGUUAACCGAAUAGGGGAGCCGAAGGGAAACCGAGUCUUAACUGGGCGUUAAGUUGCAGGGUAUAGACCCGAAACCCGGUGAUCUAGCCAUGGGCAGGUUGAAGGUUGGGUAACACUAACUGGAGGACCGAACCGACUAAUGUUGAAAAAUUAGCGGAUGACUUGUGGCUGGGGGUGAAAGGCCAAUCAAACCGGGAGAUAGCUGGUUCUCCCCGAAAGCUAUUUAGGUAGCGCCUCGUGAAUUCAUCUCCGGGGUAGAGCACUGUUUCGGCAAGGGGGCAUCCCGACUUACCAACCCGAUGCAAACUGCGAAUACCGGAGAAUGUUAUCACGGGAGACACACGGCGGGUGCUAACGUCCGUCGUGAAGAGGGAAACAACCCAGACCGCCAGCUAAGGUCCCAAAGUCAUGGUUAAGUGGGAAACGAUGUGGGAAGGCCCAGACAGCCAGGAUGUUGGCUUAGAAGCAGCCAUCAUUUAAAGAAAGCGUAAUAGCUCACUGGUCGAGUCGGCCUGCGCGGAAGAUGUAACGGGGCUAAACCAUGCACCGAAGCUGCGGCAGCGACACUAUGUGUUGUUGGGUAGGGAGCGUUCUGUAAGCCUGUGAAGGUGUGCUGUGAGGUAUGCUGGAGGUAUCAGAAGUGCGAAUGCUGACAUAAGUAACGAUAAAGCGGGUGAAAAGCCCGCUCGCCGGAAGACCAAGGGUUCCUGUCCAACGUUAAUCGGGGCAGGGUGAGUCGACCCCUAAGGCGAGGCCGAAAGGCGUAGUCGAUGGGAAACAGGUUAAUAUUCCUGUACUUGGUGUUACUGCGAAGGGGGACGGAGAAGGCUAUGUUGGCCGGGCGACGGUUGUCCCGGUUUAAGCGUGUAGGCUGGUUUUCCAGGCAAAUCCGGAAAAUCAAGGCUGAGGCGUGAUGACGAGGCACUACGGUGCUGAAGCAACAAAUGCCCUGCUUCCAGGAAAAGCCUCUAAGCAUCAGGUAACAUCAAAUCGUACCCCAAACCGACACAGGUGGUCAGGUAGAGAAUACCAAGGCGCUUGAGAGAACUCGGGUGAAGGAACUAGGCAAAAUGGUGCCGUAACUUCGGGAGAAGGCACGCUGAUAUGUAGGUGAAGUCCCUUGCGGAUGGAGCUGAAAUCAGUCGAAGAUACCAGCUGGCUGCAACUGUUUAUUAAAAACACAGCACUGUGCAAACACGAAAGUGGACGUAUACGGUGUGACGCCUGCCCGGUGCCGGAAGGUUAAUUGAUGGGGUUAGCGGUAACGCGAAGCUCUUGAUCGAAGCCCCGGUAAACGGCGGCCGUAACUAUAACGGUCCUAAGGUAGCGAAAUUCCUUGUCGGGUAAGUUCCGACCUGCACGAAUGGCGUAAUGAUGGCCAGGCUGUCUCCACCCGAGACUCAGUGAAAUUGAACUCGCUGUGAAGAUGCAGUGUACCCGCGGCAAGACGGAAAGACCCCGUGAACCUUUACUAUAGCUUGACACUGAACAUUGAGCCUUGAUGUGUAGGAUAGGUGGGAGGCUUUGAAGUGUGGACGCCAGUCUGCAUGGAGCCGACCUUGAAAUACCACCCUUUAAUGUUUGAUGUUCUAACGUUGGCCCCUAAUCGGGGUUGCGGACAGUGUCUGGUGGGUAGUUUGACUGGGGCGGUCUCCUCCUAAAGAGUAACGGAGGAGCACGAAGGUUGGCUAAUCCUGGUCGGACAUCAGGAGGUUAGUGCAAUGGCAUAAGCCAGCUUGACUGCGAGCGUGACGGCGCGAGCAGGUGCGAAAGCAGGUCAUAGUGAUCCGGUGGUUCUGAAUGGAAGGGCCAUCGCUCAACGGAUAAAAGGUACUCCGGGGAUAACAGGCUGAUACCGCCCAAGAGUUCAUAUCGACGGCGGUGUUUGGCACCUCGAUGUCGGCUCAUCACAUCCUGGGGCUGAAGUAGGUCCCAAGGGUAUGGCUGUUCGCCAUUUAAAGUGGUACGCGAGCUGGGUUUAGAACGUCGUGAGACAGUUCGGUCCCUAUCUCGCCGUGGGCGCUGGAGAACUGAGGGGGCUGCUCCUAGUACGAGAGGACCGGAGUGGACGCAUCACUGGUGUUCGGGUUGUCAUGCCAAUGGCACUGCCCGGUAGCUAAAUGCGGAAGAGAUAAGUGCUGAAAGCAUCUAAGCACGAAACUUGCCCCGAGAUGAGUUCUCCCUGACUCCUUGAGAGUCCUGAAGGAACGUUGAAGACGACGACGUUGAUAGGCCGGGUGUGUAAGCGCAGCGAUGCGUUGAGCUAACCGGUACUAAUGAACCGUGAGGCUUAACCUU